rnacentral:rRNA from 1 species
CCCCGGCGCCACGAGUGGUAAUCACUUUUAUUGGGCCUAAAGCGUCCGUAGUCGAUAAAGUAAAUCUUUUGUCAAAUCCUUGUGCUUAACGCAGGGGCAGCAAGAGACACUACUUUGUUUGGGAUCGGGAGGAGUCAGGGGUAUUCCUUGGGUAGCGGUAAAAUGCGAUAAUCCUUGGAAGACCACCAAUGGCAAAGGCAUCUGACUAGAACGAAUCCGACGAUCAGGGACGAAAGCUAGGGGAGCAAAAGGG